rnacentral:misc_RNA from 1 species
AACUGAUACUACCUGCGGGAACCUGCGGAAGGAUCAUUAGAAAAAGGGUCUUUUUGACCCAUUUUUUUAAAACUCACUACCAAUUCUAGCCUAUCGGGUUAGAUGGAAGCGGGUUUUUUCAAACUCCAAAAAUUUUAAACUAUUCGUCUUUUUGACGAAACCAAAAAUUAAUAAAUAAAACUUUCAACAAUGGAUCUCU